UACCUCAAAAAGCUUUGUAUUAAUGGGAGC
rnacentral:piRNA from 1 species